AACAUCUUGGCAUCUGCUGCCAUGACUAUUGCUUUAAGUGUGGGAUUUGCAGUAAACCGAUGGGUGAGCUUCUGGAUCAGAUCUUUAUUCACCGUGACACUAUCCACUGUGGGAAAUGCUAUGAGAAGCUCUUCUAGGCUCAAGCAAAGAGGAUUGACCAGUCGGCUUCCUGAUGAGUGGAGAUGGCCUGAUGCGAUAGGCACAGACAAGAGCAUGGGGUUCAGUGUAUCCUGCCUCUUGGGACAGAGAGCAAAUCACAUCCCGGUUCACAGCUCUGCGUGUACCUUUGGGAGACCCCCUGAAGCUUCUGAGGGUCCAGGUUAAAGACUGUUGACGAUCCCUGGUGGGUAAAUUGCAGACAUUGAAUGCUGGGGAUUGACAUAGGCUAAUGUUUAGCUCGCCUGUUUGCCAUUUAUAUUUUUUAAACUUUCCAUAUACUUUUACAACUAGUUAGUUGCUUUUGAUUGAGUUACACAGCAGAUUUUAAUUACCUCCUCCCACCUACCUUUCAGUGUAGUUGCGUUUCUUCCUGCAGGCAUGUGCGCAUGUAUUAGAAAGUUUACACAUGAGGUUUAAAUUCUAUAGGAUGUGAUUCUUAAGAAGCUACUGACCAAAGGGACAUCUGUGUCUGAACCUUGAUAGCUAAUUCGUACAUUUGCCUUCAACUUCCGACCCUUAAACUUUACCCAGAAGUCCCCUAAAGCAGGUUUUAGAGUAUAUAGACUCCGGCAGGAUUACCAAGGGAGAAAAUCAGCUAACAUUUCUUGAGACCUUGCUACAUACCAGGCAUUAUCACAAGGUGGUGGCAUUAAUCCCGUGCUCAUCUUGUCCAGAGGGUAUUCUUCUCCCCAGUCUGCAAAUGAGGACGUUGAGGCUCAGCGAGGUGGUCAUUGCAUUGUGCAGAACCAUUGCUGUCUCUCCAGAGCCCAUGCUCUCUCCAGGAACAGGAACCACAAACAUGAGCAUCGAUUUAAUGUUGAGUAUAUGCCAAGCACUGUGUGGAGGUUACCUAAUCCUCCCAGGUAACACCACACCCCUCAGGCCUUCCCUGAGGCACACUUUUACAAAGAGGGGAAGGUGGGAACUGGCCCUCCUACUCGGGGCAUUCUGGGUCCCCAUCAAAUAACAGAAGGGCCAAACUGGCUCCCCUCACCUCCCUUUUCCAUGAAAAUGCUUCUGAACUUCAAUCCUCUUGGCUGGGAAGAGAUUUAACUCACAGACCUUCCCAAAGAAGGGCUUGUCAACCCAGGGGAAGCUGCAGUGGGUUAGCGGAUCUGAGCACAGGGCCCUCAGUGACCUCCCGUCUUCUAGUCCAGACUCUGUCCCAAGCUAGUGGCAACUACUGAGACCCCAGGUACUUGGAACAGGGACACCCGGUGGCCAGCUGGGCAGAUGCAGGCCCAUUCAUGCAGUCAGCUGCUGCUCCGCUCAGGUUUGACUGGGUUCCUCGGCCUUUGGGACCCGCGUCACUGUGCAAGUUCCUUGAGAAGACAACCUGACGGUUUUUCUGUUGACAGAUGAGGGCCUUUUCUCUUGGUUUAAUAGAAAAUGUCUCCCCGUCUCUCUCCAGUUUCUGAGCCCUGUGCACAUUGGCUGGUGGACUUGUUCUUCCCGCCAAAUGAUCAGAGAGGAACGUCCCAUUUAUUUGCAUAGAUGUGCACCAGGUUUGCUCUGGAGGGGAAAGGUGGCCGUGUACUUACACAAAAUAUGAGCUGGUUUUCCUCAAGGCUAGCCCUCACCCUGGGACUUGGCACAUGGUAGGGACUGACACAUAGGUGUUGAAUGAAUGAGUGAAAGGGAAAGAAAGGUCGUGCCUUUGAGUGGGACAGGCCACCCCUGAGUUUUGGCAGGAUAAAGAGGUCCAAGACAGGCUGGCUUUCCCACCUUCAAGAGUCACUCUGCC